GCCUUGUACACACCGCCCGUCACACCAUGGGAGUGGGUUGCAAAAGAAGUAGGUAGCUUAACCUUCGGGAGGGCGCUUACCACUUUGUGAUUCAUGACUGGGGUGAAGUCGUAACAAGGUAACCGUAGGGGAACCUGCGGUUGGAUCACCUCCUUA
rnacentral:rRNA from 2 species